CUCCCUCUCUCUAAAUCCCCAAUUUUUCAGAGUUUAGAAUCUCUGCAAUGGCGGCCGUCGACUCAGCCCCCACCGCACCAAUUGAAGCGCCCGCCGUCGAUCUCGCCCCGGCCGUCGCCGCCGAUGCCCCACCGGCGAAGCCGGCCAAGGUGAAAGCUACGAAGGCGCCGAAGGAGAAGAAGGCCUCAACGAAGAAGCCCGCCGUGCAUCCCCCAUAUCUUGAGAUGAUUGGCGAGGCGAUCGUGUCGCUGAAGGAGAGG
rnacentral:misc_RNA from 1 species